UUGACCACACGUCUACCGUGCUUGUUUUAAUCCCGAUUGUUCGAACGGUUCUUUGCAACCGGCUCGUAAACGCCAUGCUAGGCUACCUCACCGCCUCCACCUCGGCAGAACAAAGGGGCGUGAAGAAGAGCCCCUCUCCCUCUCUUGCCGAGAACAUCCAGCAACUUUGUUGAGCCAGCGCGGCCACCAAGUUAGCUCGCGAUCGCUCCGUGCUAACCUGGAGAAGGGGGACGCCGCGGAGCCGUUAGCCUGGCGACAAGAAGCCGAGGCGGCGUCUCUGAAAUGACUUUGUCGGGGAUGGAAAGACGCGAGUGGCUAGUUUGUGGGAGUGUAGAUCGCAUUUCCCCUGUGUUAAUUGAAGUUGACCUAGCCGCAGUUAUCGGUCGCCGACGCUGAUUUACCCACUUAGCUAACACACCGCGCCGCUAAACGAGUACAAACUCCCCGCUGACAUACACAGGGGGACAGCCACGCUUUGUUCGUGAAUCACGAGUUUGCGAGAAAAGGUAGAAAACGGAGAUUGAACAACCCAACUCUCGAUGCGAGCCCGGACCCCGUCGCUCUCAUUGGACCGAGGCUGAGCGGCAGCCGGCCUCCCAUUGGCCGAGUGGCGGAACAACAGGCAGCAGGAUGGACCGGCCGUCCGUCCACCCACCCACCAAGGCCACAUGGAACAAUAACCGAGCCUUGGAGCCCCAAACUGGGCGAGGAGGAGCCUGACCUCGGUGUCACCACUGUGGUUUGGGCUCAUUUUAUGACACGAUUUAAAAGAUGUUCCCUUUUCAAGAAGCUGCAAUAUUCUGGGCUCUGAUGAUAAUUAUGGAAAAAAAGAGCCCACAAAAGACUAUUUAUUACAGUGAACACUGGAUGUUUUGGAUCUUAUUGGUCAAACAUCAGACAGUUUGCAAUUUUCUUAUUGUCGAUCCCCGAUUGUAAAAAGGGGGGCACACGAAAAUCAGUUGUUAGUAGUUCAAUGAAAGGCAAUUUGAACAGAAUUUGCAUUGACACACCAUGUAAGUAACCCCUCACCUAAAAACCACACACACACACGCCUCAAAGGUUUUGUUAAAAAGCCCCAAAACAUUAGAAAAAUAUCCAUCCAGGUAAGCCUACCAAGUAUCGAUUAUUGGUAAUCACUGUCAUUCAUGCACAUGUAACACCCAAAUGCAUGAUUUAUGAAGUCUUUCCACACAUUUCCCUUAAUUGCAGCUGUAGCAAAAUGGUUGCAGGAAAACUUAAGUGGCGUUUGGGUGGGGGAGGGUCUGCAGCCCAAGGCCUUUCACUGCGGGGUUUUGACCGCCAGAGCCGAGCCAUGCGGAGUGGCAAAUGGCGCUUGAAGAAAGACUCUCGGCCACCCAGUCUCUGCGACUUCCCAACCCUAUUACUGCCCCAAGCAUAGUAUAUCAUCCUUAUACUGUUAAAUUUAUUGUUGUCCAUGGUACUGAUUAUCCACGUUACUAAUAUACCACAUGGCUUUGAAUCCACCAGCCUGAAGGGUUAAAGUCAGGCUGGUAAAAUGGUAUCAGUGUCUUUGCAUUGAAGCAUUUUUAGUAGUUGAAUACAUCGUAUGUACAAUCUCAACCCCAACUCUCCCGCCUCCACCCUAUUACCAAAUUAGUAUUCAGUCUUUAGCUAUAGUGUCUUAUUGUAAAAGAAUAACUGAAUACAAGACUAUUUCAAA